GACGUAGGGCGCGAGCGUUGUCCGGAUUUAUUGGGCGUAAAGAGCUCGUAGGCGGCUUGUCGCGUCGAAUGUGAAAACUCGGGGCUCAACUCCGAGCUUGCAUUCGAUACGGGCAGGCUAGAGUUCGGUAGGGGAGACUGGAAUUCCUGGUGUAGCGGUGAAAUGCGCAGAUAUCAGGAGGAACACCGGUGGCGAAGGCGGGUCUCUGGGCCGAUACUGACGCUGAGGAGCGAAAGCGUGGGGAGCGAAACAGG
rnacentral:rRNA from 1 species